GGUCAGCAGCUGUUAGGGUUUGAGCAUGCGCAAACAACAGGCACGCAUUGUUCGGAAAUCCUUCUAGGCUUGGGUGCUUAUUAUCGGAAAGUUCGUAUUUUUUUUUAUUUGUUAUUUUUUUUUUUACUAUUUUUAUUUAUUUAUGUUUUAUUAUAUUAUUUUCCCCACUGACCCAGUCAGUGUGACAGGUGCUUGGGCCUGGUGUGGGGGCUCAUGGCUGGGUUGCAGGGAACUGCAAGCCAUGAGAGUGGUAUGUUUGUCUGGGGGCUGGCUUUGGAAGUGGAAGCCCCUGGAUGACCCAGGCACCCAUUAUCCACAAGCGAUACAGUUGUUAAAUGCAGUUAAAUGCAAUUUAACUAAGUUAACAACAAAGAGCGCAGUUAGUGUGUUAGUUAGUAUGGUCAGUGAUUUCUGGCAUACCAGCAUGCGCAUGGCGAUAGUAGGUCAGCAGCUGUUAGGGUUUGAGCAUGCGCAAACAACAGGCACGCAUUGUUCGGAAAUCCUUCUAGGCUUGGGUGCUUAUUAUCGGAAAGUUCGUAUUUUUUUUUAUUUGUUAUUUUUUUUUUUACUAUUUUUAUUUAUUUAUGUUUUAUUAUAUUAUUUUCCCCACUGACCCAGUCAGUGUGACAGGUGCUUGGGCCUGGUGUGGGGGCUCAUGGCUGGGUUGCAGGGAACUGCA
rnacentral:lncRNA from 1 species